rnacentral:rRNA from 1 species
AGUUAGUUGGUGAGGUAAUGGCUCACCAAGACAAUGACGCUUAACUGGUUUGAGAGGAUGAUCAGUCACACUGGAACUGAGACACGGUCCAGACUCCUACGGGAGGCAGCAGUGGGGAAUAUUGCACAAUGGACGAAAGUCUGAUGCAGCAACGCCGCGUGGAGGAUGACACAUUUCGGUGCGUAAACUCCUUUUAUAUGGGAAGAUAAUGACGGUACCAUAUGAAUAAGCACCGGCUAACUCCGUGCCAGCAGCCGCGGUAAUACGGGGGGUGCAAGCGUUACUCGGAAUCACUGGGCGUAAAGAGCGUGUAGGCGGGUAGUUAAGUCAGAAGUGAAAUCCAAUAGCUCAACUAUUGAACUGCUUUUGAAACUGAUUACCUAGAAUAUGGGAGAGGUAAAUGGAAUUUCUGGUGUGGGGGUAAAAUCCGUAGAGAUCAGAAGGAAUACCGAUUGCGAAGGCGAUCUACUGGGACAUUAUUGACGCUGAGACGCGAAAGCGUGGGGAGCAAACAGGAUUAGAUACCCUGGUAGUCCACGCCCUAAACGAUGUACACUAGUUGUUGUGAGGCUCGACCUUGCAGUAAUGCAGUUAACACGUUAAGUGUACCGCCUGGGGAGUACGGUCGCAAGAUUAAAACUCAAAGGAAUAGACGGGGACCCGCACAAGCGGUGGAGCAUGUGGUUUAAUUCGACAUACACGAAGAACCUUACCUGGACUUGACAUAGUAAGAACUUUCUAGAGAUAGAUUGGUGUCUGCUUGCAGAAACUUAUAUACAGGUGCUGCACGGCUGUCGUCAGCUCGUGUCGUGAGAUGUUGGGUUAAGUCCCGCAACGAGCGCAACCCUCGUCAUUAGUUGCUAACAGUUCGGCUGAGAACUCUAAUGAGACUGCCUACGCAAGUAGGAGGAAGGUGAGGACGACGUCAAGUCAUCAUGGCCCUUACGUCCAGGGCUACACACGUGCUACAAUGGGGUAUACAAAGAGCCGCAAUACGGUGACGUGGAGCAAAUCUCAAAAAUAUCUCCCAGUUCGGAUUGUAGUCUGCAACUCGACUACAUGAAGUUGGAAUCGCUAGUAAUCGUAGAUCAGCUAUGCUACGGUGAAUACGUUCCCGGGUCUUGUACUCACCGCCCGUCACACCAUGGGUGUUGAACUCAUUCGAAGCGGGGAUGCUAAAAUAGCUACCUUCCACAGUGGAUUCAGCGACUGGGGUGAAGUCGUAACAAGGUAACCGUAGGAGAACCUGCGGUUG